GACGAACCGUGCGAACGUUGUUCGGAAUCACUGGGCUUAAAGGGCGCGUAGGCGGGCUGCCAAGUCAGGGGUGAAAUCUUUCGGCUCAACCGGAAAAGAGCCUUUGAUACUGGCGGUCUCGAGUGGGGUAGGGGCACGCGGAACUUCCGGUGGAGCGGUGAAAUGCGUAGAUAUCGUGAGGAACACCAGAGGCGAAGGCGGCUACCUGGACAAUUGCUGACGCUCAGGCACGAAAGCGUGGGGAGCAAAAGGG
rnacentral:rRNA from 1 species